GUGUUCACUUCAGCAGCACAUAUACUAAAAUUGGAAUGAUACAGAGAAGAUUGGCAUGGCCCCCGCUCCAAGAUGACAUACAAAUUCAUCAAGCAUUCCAUAUUUCU
ensembl:snRNA U6 U6 spliceosomal RNA